rnacentral:rRNA from 1 species
AGAGUUUGAUCCUGGCUCAGGAUGAACGCUAGCGACAGGCUUAACACAUGCAAGUCGAGGGGCAGCAUGAUUUGUAGCAAUACAGAUUGAUGGCGACCGGCGCACGGGUGAGUAACGCGUAUGCAACUUACCUAUCAGAGGGGGAUAACCCGGCGAAAGUCGGACUAAUACCGCAUGAAGCAGGGGCCCCGCAUGGGGAUAUUUGCUAAAGAUUCAUCGCUGAUAGAUAGGCAUGCGUUCCAUUAGGCAGUUGGCGGGGUAACGGCCCACCAAACCGACGAUGGAUAGGGGUUCUGAGAGGAAGGUCCCCCACAUUGGUACUGAGACACGGACCAAACUCCUACGGGAGGCAGCAGUGAGGAAUAUUGGUCAAUGGCCGAGAGGCUGAACCAGCCAAGUCGCGUGAAGGAAGAAGGAUCUAUGGUUUGUAAACUUCUUUUAUAGGGGAAUAAAGUGGAGGACGUGUCCUUUUUUGUAUGUACCCUAUGAAUAAGCAUCGGCUAACUCCGUGCCAGCAGCCGCGGUAAUACGGAGGAUGCGAGCGUUAUCCGGAUUUAUUGGGUUUAAAGGGUGCGUAGGUGGUGAUUUAAGUCAGCGGUGAAAGUUUGUGGCUCAACCAUAAAAUUGCCGUUGAAACUGGGUUACUUGAGUGUGUUUGAGGUAGGCGGAAUGCGUGGUGUAGCGGUGAAAUGCAUAGAUAUCACGCAGAACUCCGAUUGCGAAGGCAGCUUACUAAACCAUAACUGACACUGAAGCACGAAAGCGUGGGGAUCAAACAGGAUUAGAUACCCUGGUAGUCCACGCAGUAAACGAUGAUCACUAGCUGUUUGCGAUACAGUGUAAGCGGCACAGCGAAAGCGUUAAGUGAUCCACCUGGGGAGUACGCCGGCAACGGUGAAACUCAAAGGAAUUGACGGGGGCCC